AACUUUCAACAACGGAUCUCUUGGCUCUCGCAUCGAUGAAGAACGCAGCGAAAUGCGAUAAGUAAUGUGAAUUGCAGAAUUCAGUGAAUCAUCAAUCUUUGAACGCACAUUGCGCCCCUUGGUAUUCCUUGGGGCAUGCCUGUUCGAGCGUC
rnacentral:rRNA from 1 species